rnacentral:rRNA from 1 species
UAGUAGCGGCGAGCGAAGCGGGAAGAGCUCAAAUUUAUAAUCUGGCACCUUCGGUGUCCGAGUUGUAAUCUCUAGAAGUGUUUUCCGCGUUGGACCGCACACAAGUCUGUUGGAAUACAGCGGCAUAGUGGUGAGACCCCCGUAUAUGGUGCGGACGCCCAACGCUUUGUGAUACACUUUCGAAGAGUCGAGUUGUUUGGGAAUGCAGCUCAAAUUGGGUGGUAAAUUCCAUCUAAAGCUAAAUAUUGGCGAGAGACCGAUAGCGAACAAGUACCGUGAGGGAAAGAUGAAAAGCACUUUGGAAAGAGAGUUAACAGUACGUGAAAUUGUUGGAAGGGAAACGCUUGAAGUCAGACUUGCUUGCCGAGCAAUCGGUUUGCAGGCCAGCAUCAGUUUUCUGGGGUGGAUAAUGGUAGAGAGAAGGUAGCAGUUUCGGCUGUGUUAUAGCUCUUUGCUGGAUACACCUUGGGGGACUGAGGAACGCAGUGUGCCUUACGGCGGAUUUCUCGAGAUCUUCACACUUAGGAUGCUGGUGGAAUGGCUUUAAACGACCCGUCUUGA